UUAAGAAUCUUGCGCAAUGGGGGAAACCCUGACGCAGCGACGCCGCGUGGACGAUGAAGGCCUUCGGGUUGUAAAGUCCGAUAAGCGGGGAAGAAUAAGCAACGGGUAAUAUUCGUUGUGAUGACGGUACCUGCCUAAAGCCCCGGCUAACUACGUGCCAGCAGCCGCGGUAAUACGUAUGGGGCUAGCGUUGUUCGGAAUUAUUGGGCGUAAAGGGCGUCUAGGCGGGGGAUUAAGUUGGGUGUGAAAUCCCUGGGCUCAACCCAGGAACUGCAACCAAAACUGGGUCUCUUGAGUUCGGGAGAGGAGAGCGGAAUUCCCGGUGUAGCGGUGAAAUGCGUAGAUAUCGGGAAGAACACCAGUGGCGAAGGCGGCUCUCUGGCCUAGAACUGGCGCUGAAGCGCGAAAGCGUGGGGAGCGAACG
rnacentral:rRNA from 1 species